GACGAACGCUGGCGGCGUGCUUAACACAUGCAAGUCGAACGGACAGGCCCUGCUUUUGUGGGGUGCUCGAGUGGCGAACGGGUGAGUAACACGUGUGUAACCUGCCCUUGACUUUGGGAUAACUUCUGGAAACUGGGGCUCAUACCGGAUAGGAGCUCCUGCAGCAUGGUGGGGGUUGGAAAGAUUCGGCGGUUGGGGAUGGACUCGCGGCUUAUCAGCUUGUUGGUGGGGUAGUGGAUUACCAAGGCUGUGACGGGUAGCCGGCCUGAGAGGGUGACCGGCCACAUUGGGACUGAGAUACGGCCCAGACUCCUACGGGAGGCAGCAGUGGGGAAUAUUGCACAAUGGGCGGAAGCCUGAUGCAGCAACGCCGCGUGCGGGAUGACGGCCUUCGGGUUGUAAACCGCUUUCGCCUGUGACGAAGCGUGAGUGACGGUAAUGGGUAAAGAAGCACCGGCUAACUACGUG
rnacentral:rRNA from 1 species